AAAACGACUCUCGGCAACGGAUAUCUCGGCUCUCGCAUCGAUGAAGAACGUAGCGAAAUGCGAUACUUGGUGUGAAUUGCAGAAUCCCGUGAACCAUCGAGUCUUUGAACGCAAGUUGCGCCCAAAGCCAGUAGGUAGAGGGCACGCCUGCCUGGGCGUCUCGCA
rnacentral:rRNA from 1 species